GGACCCCACUGCUAUCGGGAUAGGACUAAGACAUGCUAGUUGAGCGCUUCAGCCAAAACGAGGCGCAGCAUACAGCUCAGUAGCACGUGGCUAAUCUGCCCUUAGGAUAGGAACAACCCCGGGAAACUGGGGCUAAUUCCCAAUAGGCGAAGAACUCUGGAAUGAGUCUUCACCCGAAAAGAGCCCACGUUACGCUCGUGGGUCUCGCCUAAGGAUGAGGCCGCGGCCGAUCAGGUUGUUGGUGAGGUAACGGCUCACCAAGCCUUUUACCGGUGCGGGCCGUGAGAGCGGGAGCCCGGAGAUGGGUACUGAGACAAGGACCCAGGCCCUACGGGGCGCAGCAGUCGCGAAAACUUUGCAAUACACGCAAGUGUGACAGGGCUAUCCCGAGUGCCAUCCG
rnacentral:rRNA from 1 species